UACGGGGGGGGUAAGCGUUGUUCGGAAUUACUGGGCGUAAAGGGCUCGUAGGCGGCCAACUAAGUCAGACGUGAAAUCCCUCAGCUUAACUGGGGAACUGCGUCUGAUACUGGAUGGCUUGGAUUCGGGAGAGGAAUGCGGAAUUCCAGGUGUAGCGGUGAAAUGCGUAGAUAUCUGGAGGAACACCGGUGGCGAAGGCGGCAUUCUGGACCGGUAUUGACGCUGAGGCGCGAAAGCCAGGGGAGCAAACGGG
rnacentral:rRNA from 1 species